rnacentral:rRNA from 1 species
GAUGAACGCUGGCGGCGUGCCUAAUACAUGCAAGUCGAGCGAACUGAUUAGAAGCUUGCUUCUAAGACGUUAGCGGCGGACGGGUGAGUAACACGUGGGCAACCUGCCUGUAAGACUGGGAUAACUUCGGGAAACCGAAGCUAAUACCGGAUAGGAUCUUCUCCUUCAUGGGAGAUGAUUGAAAGAUGGUUUCGGCUAUCACUUACAGAUGGGCCCGCGGUGCAUUAGCUAGUUGGUGAGGUAACGGCUCACCAAGGCAACGAUGCAUAGCCGACCUGAGAGGGUGAUCGGCCACACUGGGACGGAGACACGGCCCAGACUCCUACGGGAGGCAGCAGUAGGGAAUCUUCCGCAAUGGACGAAAGUCUGACGGGGCAACGCCGCGUGAGUGAUGAAGGCUUUCGGGUCGUAAAACUCUGUUGUUAGGGAAGAACAAAUACAAGAGUAACUGCUUGUACCUUGACGGUACCUAACCAGAGAGCCACGGCUAACUACGUGCCAGCCGCCGCGGUAACAC